UAUUGGGAGUUUCGGCCCCAACGCAAUGUGUCUGUCAGAGAGAGAGAGGGUGGUUAAAUCCACAAUAUGACAAGCAAGAAUAUGCGAUUGUGACAAAAUCAAACUUAUGACAUAAAUUGUUGUUGUUGAAAUGUAAGAUGAUGUAAAGGUACGAGUGACAACAGUACAAGUUCCUACCCGCUGCCACCUAAAAC